UGUAGGUAUUAAUUUAUCGAGAGAGCUAUCGUUAUUAAAAUAUUACACGUCUAACACACAUGCUUAUGUGAAUAAUCAAAUUAAUACAACUUAUUUAAAAACCAGACACAGGUACAUGGACAUUAAUAGUACUUCAAUAAAUGUAUCUACGGGAGAUGAUAAUACAAACGAUUUAAAAAAAAUGUUUAUCAGAAAAAAAAGUAUAUUAAAAGAUAGUAGCGAUAUGCGUAGUUUUUAUAGAAAGGACAUUAAAAAUGUAGCAAAGAGUAAAAUACGCACUAGUUCUGACUGCAUGGAAACAUAUAACUCUCUCGACAUAAACAAAGUAAAUAACUUCAUAAUUAUUUUGAACAAUGCAGGGUUAUUACAAUUAUACUCUGGCGAUAUAUACAUUUGUGAUAUAUCUUCACAGAAGAGUAGUGAGAAAAUCUAUUAUAUACACAACCCUGAUUACAGUAAAAUAUUAAUAGAAACAAUGAAGUUUGAAUUGAAUGAAUUAUUGCUAAAUACAUAUAGAGUUUCUCUUGCCAUACUACCAAAGAAUGAGACAUUACUAAUGAUUCUUACGUUUUUUUAUUAUGCAAGUUGUAAGAAAAUAACAAAUGAUUUUUUAAGGUUGAUUCUUGUUGAAUAUAAAAAAAGCAAUACAAAUAUAGGCUCAUUUGUUGAUAUGGAUUGUAACUGUUAUGCAAAUGGAAGUAGUUGCUCCUAUAAAAACAAUAAAAGUAAAAAUGUUGGUAAUAAAGCUAGUAUCAUCGAUGACACAUUAUUUAUUAAAGAUGAUCCCAUACAGUUACAUUUUUGUAAAUUUUUGCACUUGUUUAUCUUACUUUUUGUAAAUGACAUAGAUCAAUAUAUUAAUUUGAAAAAAUAUAUAUACAUAGAAAAUGUUAGUCGUUGCAGUCAAUACAAAAGAAUAAAAAAAUAUAUGGAUUAUCUUCAUCAAAGUUAUUAUAAUAUAUACAAAAAUCGAUAUAUUAUAUUCGUACAUUUACAACAGUAUUUUGAUGAAAUAAAUUUAGAUGGCUCUAUGGAUAUAAACUUAAAAGAUGAAAUAUUAAUGUUAAUAAUUAUUUUAGGAUACUGUCUAAAUUUAUAUGGUUAUUCAUUGGAUUAUAUAAACAAACUGAGCUUAUCACAAAGAAAAUGGAUAGAACCGCUGUACAGACAUAUAUGCGAACAGUUUCAUAAAAAUAUGAUAUUAAAAAAUGACACAGGUGUGAAUGAUAAUGCUAAUUAUAAUAAUAGCUCUCUCGAUAAGUCUAACCAUUACAUCCAAAAAUUUGACAAAAGUGCAUUUGUAAAUAGUUAUUUAAAAAAUAAAUUGGAAAAGGAAUUGUAUAUACCUAACACUUUAGAUAUAUUAGAUUAUAUAGUGAACAGUAAUGAACAUGAUAAAGCACAGUUUGAUAAUAGAAUUAACGAAUGUAUAGAUAGAUAUUUAUGUUUACAAAAUGUAGAGUGUCCUUCGAAAAAAUUGAAUCUAGAUGAUGAAUUUUAUCUAAAAGAAAUUGAUAAAAUGUGUAGUAUCAUAAUGAAACAACAGACGUUAAUCAUUAAAGACAGUAGUAAUGAUAGUGAUGAUAGAAGUAGUAACAUAGGUAGUGUUAGUAUUAAUGACAACAAUAACUAUGAUAAUGAUGAUGAGCAUAAAACCUAUAAUUAUUAUUAUAGUAAACUUAAGAAGAUUAAAAAUGAAAUUUUAACAAAUGAUCAUUUAAAAUUUUUAUAUUACUUCAACUCAUUGUUUUUUCCAUUAAAAAAUUUG
rnacentral:lncRNA from 1 species